GCAAGUCGGACGGGANUCAGGGAGUAGCUUGCUACAAACUGAUGAGAGUGGCGCACGGGUGCGUAACGCGUGAGCAACCUACCCAUAUCAGGGGGAUAGCCUCUCGAAAGAGAGAUUAACACCGCAUAACAUCAUUUACCGGCAUCGGUUUUUGAUCAAAUAUUUAUAGGAUAUGGAUGGGCUCGCGUGACAUUAGCUAGUUGGAGAGGUAACGGCUCACCAAGGCUACGAUGUCUAGGGGCUCUGAGAGGAGAAUCCCCCACACUGGUACUGAGACACGGACCAGACUCCUACGGGAGGCAGCAGUAAGGAAUAUUGGUCAAUGGAGGCAACUCUGAACCAGCCAUGCCGCGUGCAGGAUGACUGCCCUAUGGGUUGUAAACUGCUUUUGUCAGGGAAUAAACCUUUCUACGUGUAGNAAGCUGAAUGUACCUGAAGAAUAAGGAUCGGCUAACUCCGUGCCAGCAGCCGCGGUAAUACGGAGGAUCCAAGCGUUAUCCGGAUUUAUUGGGUUUAAAGGGUGCGUAGGCGGUCCUAUAAGUCAGUGGUGAAAGACGGCAGCUUAACUGUCGCAGUGCCUUUGAUACUGUAGGACUUGAAUCUAUUUGAAGUGGGCGGAAUAAGACAAGUAGCGGUGAAAUGCAUAGAUAUGUCUUAGAACUCCGAUUGCGAAGGCAGCUCACUAAGUUAGUAUUGACGCUGAUGCACGAAAGCGUGGGGAUCAAACAGGAUUAGAUACCCUGGUAGUCCACGCCCUAAACGAUGAUAACUCGAUGUUUGCGAUACACAGUAAGCGUCCAAGCGAAAGCGUUAAGUUAUCCACCUGGGGAGUACGGUCGCAAGAUUGAAACUCAAAGGAAUUGACGGGGGCCCGCACAAGCGGANGAGCAUGUGGUUUAAUUCGAUGAUACGCGAGGAACCUUACCCGGGCUUGAAAGUUAGUGAAUGAUCCANAGACGGAUCAGUCCUUCGGGACACGAAACUAGGUGCUGCAUGGCUGUCGUCAGCUCGUGCCGUGAGGNGUUGGGUUAAGUCCCGCAACGAGCGCAACCCCUAUGUUUAGUUGCCAGCAUGUAAUGAUGGGGACUCUAANCNNACUGCCAGCGUAA
rnacentral:rRNA from 1 species